GAUGAACGCUGGCGGCGUGCCUAAUACAUGCAAGUCGAGCGCGAGAGUGAGGAGCUUGCUCCUCAUAAUCGAGCGGCGGACGGGUGAGUAACACGUAGGCAACCUACCCUUGAGAUUGGGAUAACUACCGGAAACGGUAGCUAAUACCGGAUACGACUUUUCCACACAAGUGGAAUUGUUAAAAGGCGGAUUUAUCUGCCGCUCAUGGAUGGGCCUGCGGUGCAUUAGCUAGUUGGUGAGGUAGUGGCUCACCAAGGCGACGAUGCAUAGCCGACCUGAGAGGGUGAUCGGCCACACUGGGACUGAGACACGGCCCAGACUCCUACGGGAAGCAGCAGUAGGGAAUCUUCCGCAAUGGACGCAAGUCUGACGGAGCAACGCCGCGUGAGUGAUGAAGGGUUUCGGCUCGUAAAACUCUGUUGUUAAGGAAGAACACUUGAGGUAGUAACUGGCCUUGAGAUGACGGUACUUAACCAGAAAGCCACGGCUAACUACGUGCCAGCAGCCGCGGUAA
rnacentral:rRNA from 1 species